rnacentral:rRNA from 1 species
AUUACUCCUACGGGAAGCAGCAGUGGGGAAUUUUGGACAAUGGGGGCAACCCUGAUCCAGCCAUGCCGCGUAAGUGAAGAAGGCCUUCGGGUUGUAAAGCUCUUUCAGCCGGGAAGAAAACGCACUCUCUAACAUAGGGUGUGGAUGACGGUACCGGAAGAAGAAGCACCGGCUAACUUCGUGCCAGCAGCCGCGGUAAUAAU